GACUCUGAGCGGUGGAUCACUCAGCUUGUGUGUCGAUGAAGAAUGCAGCUAGCUGUGAGAACUAAUGUCAGUUGCAGGACACAUUGAUCAUCGACACUUGGAGCGCACUUUGCAGCCCCGGGUUACUCCGGGGCUACACCUGUCUGGGGGUUG